rnacentral:rRNA from 1 species
AACGAACGCUGGGGGCAGGCUUACCUUUUGCAAGUCAAACGCCCCGCAAGGGGAGUGGCGCACGGGUGAGUAACGCGUGGAUAUCUGCCUUUUGGUUCGGAAUAACCCCGGGAAACUGGGGCUAAUACCGGAUGGUUCCUACGGGAUAAAGAUUUAUCGCCAAAAGAUGAGUCCGCGUACGAUUAGCUAGUUGGUGAGGUAAUGGCUCACCAAGGCGACGAUCGUUAGCUGGUCUGAGGGGACGAUCAGCCACACUGGGACUGAGACACGGCCCAAACUCCUACGGGAGGCAGCAGUGGGGAAUAUUGGACAAUGGGGGCAACCCUGAUCCAGCCUUGCCGCGUGAGUGAUGAAGGCCUUCGGGUUGUAAAGCUCUUUUGGCGGGGACGAUGAUGACGGUACCCGCAAAAUAAGCCCCGGCUAACUUCGUG